rnacentral:rRNA from 1 species
GACAGAGGGUGCAAACGUUGUUCGGAAUUACUGGGCGUAAAGCGCGUGUAGGCGGCCCGGAAAGUCGGAUGUGAAAGCCCUGGGCUUAACCUAGGAAGUGCAUUCGAAACUCUCGGGCUUGAGUUCUGGAGAGGAAGGCGGAAUUCACGGUGUAGAGGUGAAAUUCGUAGAUAUCGAGAGGAACACCGGUGGCGAAGGCGGCCUUCUGGACAGUGACUGACGCUGAGACGCGAAAGCGUGGGGAGCAAACAGG